rnacentral:rRNA from 1 species
UACAGAGGUGGCAAGCGUUGUUCGGAUUUACUGGGCGUAAAGGGCGCGCAGGCGGCGCAUUUUGUCAGGCGUGAAAGCCCCGGGCUUAACCUGGGAACUGCGUUUGAUACGGAUGGGCUAGAGUUCGGGAGAGGAGAGUGGAAUUCCCAGUGUAGAGGUGAAAUUCGUAGAUAUUGGGAAGAACACCGGUGGCGAAGGCGGCUCUCUGGACCGAGACUGACGCUGAGGCGCGAAAGCGUGGGGAGCAAACAGG